AAAGCAUUCGAAUAUAAAGUUCCGCUUUAUACGUUUGUCGUUUGAGUGUUUCAGAACAGAUAUGGCUUCACCAAAACUUAGUAAUGUUAAUGACGACGUAUCGAAAUAUCUCUGCAAGGUGAGAAAAGGUGCAAUGAGCGAAUAUUCUAACCCAAUUGCAGAAUAUAUUUCGACGAAUUCCCAAAGAGAACCGGAUAUAUUGCGACGAUUAUACGAGGUGGGUUCGUCAACGUCAUCAUUUUUUAAAUUAACCUCAUGAGCACAUUUGGGUCCAUUAAAAUCAUAGUCAAUAAAAUAAGAAGGUUAAGAAACUUGAUGCAGACAAAUAGACCUGAUUAUCUAUGUUUUUGUCUCGGUUUAUGCAAAAAUGGUCGGUUCAUCGUCAUGUGUGAUGUGCAUGUGUGUAUUCAGGGACGCCGGAACGAUGUGAAGGCAAAGGGGGGGGGGGAGAUUUUCGUGAAAGGGCAAUUUUGAAUUGAUAUAUACUAAGUCAUCGAUAUUUACAAAACAUCUGGAGUUGAACUUCGCCUAAUCAUGUUUUCUAUUUAUUGGAUGAGAGGGGGUUCUCCGCCAAGGUGAUUGUGCUAUUCUUGAAGCUCGAUGACAACAUUUCUGACAAUUAGGCUGGAUCGAUAUACCGGAUAUAUCCGAUAUACCGGUAUUUGUUUAGAUACCGGUUUGGCGAUAUUGACAAUUUAAAAAUACCGAUAUACCGACAUUUCGGUAUUUUGCUGCCUAAUACCGAAAUGAAACGCUCUUUCAAGUCAAAUUUGCUUACAAUCACGUUUAGAAAGCAAAGUUAAUACUCACAGAUGCAUGAUUUUGUUCUUACAGUUCUAGCGGCUUUGGUUUAGCCACCAGACGUCUUGUUUAUUAAAUGGUGAUCGCUAGAUAGUAUACUUCAAAAUAAGGUUUCCGUUUUUAUAACGUAGAAAAAAC